UACGGGGGGGAGCAAGCGUUGUUCGGAUUUACUGGGCGUAAAGGGGCGCGUAGGCGGCGUAACAAGUCACUUGUGAAAUCUCCGGGCUUAACCCGGAGCGGCCAAGUGAUACUGUUGUGCUAGAGUGCGGAAGGGGGCUACUGGAAUUCUCGGUGUAGCGGUGAAAAUGCGUAGAUAUCGAGAGGAACACCUGCGGCGAAGGCGGGUACUGGGGCCCACACUGACGUGAGGCGCGAAAGCCAGGGGGAGCGAACGGGGAUUUAGAAAAACCCCCUAGUAGUCCCAG
rnacentral:rRNA from 1 species